rnacentral:rRNA from 1 species
AGUGAACGCUGGCGGUAGGCCUAACACAUGCAAGUCGAACGGCAGCACAGUAAGAGCUUGCUCUUACGGGUGGCGAGUGGCGGACGGGUGAGGAAUACAUCGGAAUCUACUUUUUCGUGGGGGAUAACGUAGGGAAACUUACGCUAAUACCGCAUACGACCUACGGGUGAAAGCAGGGGAUAUUCGGACCUUGCGCGAUUGAAUGAGCCGAUGUCGGAUUAGCUAGUUGGCGGGGUAAAGGCCCACCAAGGCGACGAUCCGUAGCUGGUCUGAGAGGAUGAUCAGCCACACUGGAACUGAGACACGGUCCAGACUCCUACGGGAGGCAGCAGUGGGGAAUAUUGGACAAAGGGCGCAAGCCUGAUCCAGCCAUACCGCGUGGGUGAAGAAGGCCUUCGGGUUGUAAAGCCCUCUUGUUGGGAAAGAAAAGCAGCAGGUUAAUACCCCGCUGUUCUGACGGUACCCAAAGAAUAAGCACCGGCUAACUUCGUG